AACAUUUCUAGCAUAUUGAUGGACUGAACUGGCCCUCGUGCCGCUCUCGGAAGAAUAAUGAAAAGGUCUUUGCACUCAUAUUUAUAUCCAAACAACACCAAAGAGACUGUGUGGCUGCAAAGCUCUCAAUGUGCUAAAGGGUGGAUCCAUGAGGACUAUGAUCCGCUAUAAACAACACCAGAAACAAAGAAAUCAUAAUAAUUAAGAAGAAAACAAUGGCUUGAAGCUUGUUUGGGAUUGAAGAAAGGAUGUGGUGUUUUUUUUCGAUAAAUGUUAAUUGUUAAUUUGUUAGUUUUUUUAUCCGCAGGAGUAAUCGAAAUCGCAAUCUCACCGUGUUUACUUAUGAAUGGUAGAGGGGACGUUGGUGGGGUGUACUGGCAUAUUUUGAGUUGGCUCAGGGGGCGAGUGGCGACCCAUACUGUGGGGAGUGGAUCCUUCUUUGCCAAAAAUGUUUUGAGGACAAAACAUGUUGUUGUUCCCCAUUUCCAUGGUUUCUUGCAAGUAUCUUCCUUCAUAAGCAAUAAGCAAUUAAUUGAUCAUGUUGUGAGAGAUGACUGAUAAAAUGGGAAGGUGCG
rnacentral:lncRNA from 1 species